GCGUCAGUGGUGGAACGGUAGACACGCUACCUUGAGGGGGUAGUGCCUUACAGGUGUGGAGGUUCAAAUCCUCUCUGACGCACCA
rnacentral:tRNA from 1 species